AGCUCCAAUAGCGUAUAUUAAAGUUGUUGCAGUUAAAAAGCUCGUAGUUGGAUUUCUGGUAGAAGUAGUGACCUUGGGUCUUUGACCUAUGAAGUUGCUAUCUUCAACCAUCCUUGAAGAGAUUUAGUUUGGCAUUAAGUUGUCGAACUAAAGAUAUUCAUCUUUUACUGUGAAAAAAUCAGAACGUUCAAAGUAAGCAUUUAGCUUUGAAUGUAUUAGCAUGGAAUAAUGAAAUAGGACUUAGGUACUACUUUGUUGGUUUAUGCACCUAGGUAAUGAUUAAUAGGGAUAGUUGGGGGUAUUCGUAUUCCAAUGUUAGAGGUGAAAUUCUUGGAUUUUUGGAAGACGAACAACUGCGAAAGCAUUUACCAAGGAUGUUUUCA
rnacentral:rRNA from 1 species